UACAGAGGGGGCAAGCGUUGUUCGGAAUUACUGGGCGUAAAGGGCGCGUAGGCGGCCUGUUAAGUCGAACGUGAAAUCCCCGGGCUCAACCCGGGAACUGCGUCCGAUACUGGCAGGCUUGAAUCCGGGAGAGGGAUGCGGAAUUCCUGGUGUAGCGGUGAAAUGCGCAGAUAUCAGGAGGAACACCGGUGGCGAAGGCGGUUCUCUGGGCAUGUCCUGACGCUGAGGAGCGAAAGUGUGGGGAGCGAACAGG
rnacentral:rRNA from 1 species